rnacentral:tRNA from 1 species
GCUGGCGUAGCUCAGUUGGUAGAGCAGCUGUUUUGUAAACAGCAUGUCGCCCGUUCAAAUCGGGCCGCCAGCU